UAGAGGUAGUGGAAACUGUCUCUUUUUUUGAAGUGUUACACAUUACUUUUUCAAGGUAAAAAUAGUUUU
rnacentral:tRNA from 1 species